rnacentral:rRNA from 1 species
AGAGUUUGAUCCUGGCUCAGAAUCAACGCUGGCGGCGUGCCUAACACAUGCAAGUCGAACGCGAAAGCCCCGCAAGGGGUAAGUAGAGUGGCAAACGGGUGAGUAACACGUGGGUGAUCUGCCUCAGAGUGGGGGAUAACGACCCGAAAGGGUCGCUAAUACCGCAUAACAUCCUGCCUUUGGAUAGGUGGAGAUCAAAGUUGGGGAUCCGCAAGGACCUGACGCUUGGAGAGGAGCCCGCGGCCGAUUAGCUAGUUGGUGAGGUAACGGCUCACCAAGGCAACGAUCGGUAUCCGGCCUGAGAGGGCGGACGGACACACUGGGACUGAGACACGGCCCAGACUCCUACGGGAGGCAGCAGUGGGGAAUUGUUCGCAAUGGGCGCAAGCCUGACGACGCAACGCCGCGUGGAGGACGAAGAUUUUCGGAUCGUAAACUCCUUUCGAUCGGGAAGAACAGCUCAUAGGUUAAUAGCCUGAGAGUCUGACGGUACCGAGAGAAGAAGCCCCGGCUAACUCUGUGCCAGCAGCGGCGGUAAUUC